UACGAGGGACCUAGCGUUGUUCGGAAUCAUUGGGCGUAAAGGGUGUGUAGGCGGACUUGUAAGUCAGUUGUGAAAGCCCCGGGCUCAACCCGGGAAGUGCUUCUGAUACUGCUUGUCUUGAGUAUUGGAUAGGUGAGUGGAAUUCCAGGUGUAGUGGUGAAAUACGUAGAUAUCUGGAGGAACACCGGCGGCGAAGGCGGCUCACUGGCCAUAUACUGACGCUGAAACACGAAAGCGUGGGUAGCAAACAGG
rnacentral:rRNA from 1 species